AGAGUUUGAUCCUGGCUCAGGAUGAACGCUGGCGGCGUGCCUAACACAUGCAAGUCGAGCGCGAUUAGUUGGACUGGAGACUUCGGUCAAAGGGAAGAUUAUGAAAGCGGCGGACGGGUGAGUAACGCGUGAGCAACCUGCCCUGUACAGGGGGAUAGCCACUGGAAACGGUGAUUAAUACCCCAUAAACCCAAAGGACCGCAUGGUCCAAUGGGCAAAGUCCAAACGGUACAGGAUGGGCUCGCGUCUGAUUAGCUAGUUGGUGAGGUAACGGCUCACCAAGGCGACGAUCAGUAGCCGACCUGAGAGGGUGAACGGCCACACUGGAACUGAGACACGGUCCAGACUCCUACGGGAGGCAGCAGUGGGGAAUAUUGGUCAAUGGGCGCAAGCCUGAACCAGCCAUGCCGCGUGAAGGAUGAAGGCCCCACGGGUUGUAAACUUCUUUUGUACGAGAAGAACAUGAGAUACGUGUAUUUCACUGACUGUAUCGUAUGAAUAAGGAUCGGCUAACUCCGUGCCAGCAGCCGCGGUAAUACGGAGGAUCCAAGCGUUAUCCGGAUUUAUUAGGUUUAAAGGGUGCGUAGGCGGAAGAAUAAGUCAGUGGUGAAAUCCUGCAGCUUAACUGCGGAACUGCCAUUGAUACUGUUUUUCUUGAGUACGGUUGAGGUAGGCGGAAUGUGUAGUGUAGCGGUGAAAUGCUUAGAUAUUACACAGAACACCGAUUGCGUAGGCAGCUUACUAAGCCGUAACUGACGCUGAGGCACGAAAGCGUGGGGAUCGAACAGGAUUAGAUACCCUGGUAGUCC
rnacentral:rRNA from 1 species